rnacentral:rRNA from 1 species
UGGGGAAUAUUGGACAAUGGGCGAAAGCCUGAUCCAGCCAUGCCGCGUGUGUGAAGAAGGUCUUCGGAUUGUAAAGCACUUUAAGUUGGGAGGAAGGGCAGUAAGCGAAUACCUUGCUGUUUUGACGUUACCGACAGAAUAAGCACCGGCUAACUCUGUGCCAGCAGCCGCGGUAAUACAGAGGGUGCAAGCGUUAAUCGGAAUUACUGGGCGUAAAGCGCGCGUAGGUGGUUCGUUAAGUUGAAUGUGAAAGCCCCGGGCUCAACCUGGGAACUGCAUCCAAAACUGGCGAGCUAGUGUAGGGCAGAGGAUGGUGGAAUUUCCUGUGUAGCGGUGAAAUGCGUAGAUAUAGGAAGGAACACCAGUGGCGAAGGCGACCACCUGGGCUCAUACUGACACUGAGGUGCGAAAGCGUGGGGAGCAAACAGG